rnacentral:rRNA from 1 species
UACGGGGGGGGCAAGCGUUGUUCGGAAUUACUGGGCGUAAAGGGCUCGUAGGCGGCCAACUAAGUCGGAUGUGAAAUCCCCAGGCUCAACUUGGGAACUGCAUCCGAUACUGGAUGGCUUGAAUCCGGGAGAGGGAUGCAGAAUUCCAGGUGUGGCGGUGAAAUGCGUAGAUAUCGGAAGGAACGCCGGUGGCGAAAGCGGUCGACUGGACCUCUUCUGACGCUGAGGCGCGAAAGCCAGGGGAGCAAACGGG